rnacentral:rRNA from 1 species
GAUGAACGCUGGCGGCGUGCCUAAUACAUGCGAGUCGAGCGAACAGACGAGGAGCUUGCUCCUCUGACGUUAGCGGCGGACGGGUGAGUAACACGUGGAUAACCUACCUAUAAGACUGGGAUAACUUCGGGAAACCGGAGCUAAUACCGGAUAAUAUAUUGAACCGCAUGGUUCAAUAGUGAAAGACGGUUUUGCUGUCACUUAUAGAUGGAUCCGCGCCGCAUUAGCUAGUUGGUAAGGUAACGGCUUACCAAGGCGACGAUGCGUAGCCGACCUGGGAGGGUGAUCGGCCACACUGGAACUGAGACACGGUCCAGACUCCUACGGGAGGCAGCAGUAGGGAAUCUUCCGCAAUGGGCGAAAGCCUGACGGAGCAACGCCGCGUGAGUGAUGAAGGUCUUCGGCUCGUAAAACUCUGUUAUUAGGGAAGAACAAAUGUGUAAGUAACUAUGCACGUCUUGACGGUACCUAAUCAGAAAGCCACGGCUAACUACGUG